AGUAACGUCCUUCCAAACCCGUCC
rnacentral:siRNA from 1 species